CAGCUGAGAUCGGAGAAAACUGAGAUGACAUCGAACGAGAACUGAAACAACGAGACCGUCGACAGUCGUCCGCCUCAUGGAGGUCAAGACGCACAGUGGUUGUUACACGUCUUCCCAGUCCGUCUGGAGGAACACAUGUGCAGCGUCUCAUGUAGAGACGAACGGACACAACAAACCGGAGGCUGCGUGGACGCCUCUGAUGACGCAAACUCUCACGAAACGGCCUGAGGACCAGUUAACACAUCGUCUACAAUAAGAUCAUUCUGACACACAAAUAUGGUCGAACAGGAAGUAGAAGGGUGAAGAAGAAAAGGAUGAAGAAGCUUACACUACACUAAUGGUAAUAUCGGUAGGUGUGUUUCCA